GACGAACGCUGGCGGCGUGCCUAAUACAUGCAAGUAGAACGCUGAAGGCGGAGCUUGCUUCUCCGGAUGAGUUGCGAACGGGUGAGUAACGCGUAGGUAACCUGCCUGGUAGCGGGGGAUAACUAUUGGAAACGAUAGCUAAUACCGCAUAACAGUAGAUGUUGCAUGACAUUUGCUUAAAAGGUGCAAUUGCAUCACUACCAGAUGGACCUGCGUUGUAUUAGCUAGUUGGUGAGGUAACGGCUCACCAAGGCGACGAUACAUAGCCGACCUGCGAGGGUGAUCUGCCACGCUGGGACUGGGACACGGCCCAGCCUCCUACGGGAGGCAGCAGUAGGGGAUCUUCGGCAAUGGACGGAAGUCGGACCGAGCAACGCCGCGUGAGUGAAGAAGGUUGUCGGAUCGUGAAGCUCUGUUGUAAGAGAAGAUCGAGUGUGAGAGUGGAAAGUUCACACUGUGACGGUAUCUUACCAGAAAGGGACGGCUAACUACGUG
rnacentral:rRNA from 1 species